rnacentral:rRNA from 1 species
UACGGGGGGGGCAAGCGUUGUUCGGAAUUACUGGGCGUAAAGGGCUCGUAGGCGGCCAACUAAGUCAGACGUGAAAUCCCUCGGCUUAACCGGGGAACUGCGUCUGAUACUGGAUGGCUUGAGUUCGGGAGAGGGAUGCGGAAUUCCAGGUGUAGCGGUGAAAUGCGUAGAUAUCUGGAGGAACACCGGUGGCGAAGGCGGCAUCCUGGACCGAGACUGACGCUGAGGAGCGAAAGCCAGGGGAGCAAACAGG